rnacentral:tRNA from 1 species
CAGAUGGAAGCCCGCUGGGUUGGGUGUUUAGUUGUUAGUUAAUUUUUUGUGGGAUCGAGGCCCACCCAUCUG